CCUAGGGGGGCUGCAGUGGGGAAUAUUGGACAAUGGGGGCAACCCUGAUCCAGCCAUGCCGCGUGUGUGAAGAAGGCCCUCGGGUUGUAAAGCACUUUCAGUGAGGAAGAACGCCUGGUGGUUAAUACCCAUCAGGAAAGACAUCACUCACAGAAGAAGCACCGGCUAACUCCGUGCCAGCAGCCGCGGUAAUACGGAGGGUGCGAGCGUUAAUCGGAAUUACUGGGCGUAAAGCGCGCGUAGGUGGCUUGAUAAGCCGGUUGUGAAAGCCCCGGGCUCAACCUGGGAACGGCAUCCGGAACUGUCAAGCUAGAGUGCAGGAGAGGAAGGUAGAAUUCCCGGUGUAGCGGUGAAAUGCGUAGAGAUCGGGAGGAAUACCAGUGGCGAAGGCGGCCUUCUGGACUGACACUGACACUGAGGUGCGAAAGCGUGGGUAGCAAACAGGAUUAGAUACCCGGGUAGUC
rnacentral:rRNA from 1 species